AUUGAACGCUGGCGGCAGGCCUAACACAUGCAAGUCGAGCGAGCGGCGGACGGGUGAGUAAUGUCUGGGAAACUGCCUGAUGGAGGGGGAUAACUACUGGAAACGGUAGCUAAUACCGCAUACCAUCAGAUGUGCCCAGAUGGGAUGCGCUAGUAGGUGGGGUAACGGCUCACCUAGGCGACGAUACCUAGCUGGUCUUAGAGGAUGACAAGCCACCCUGGACAUGAUACACGGUCAAGACUCCUACGGGAGGCAGCAGUGGGGAAUAUUGCACAAUGGGCGCAAGCCUGAUGCAGCCAUGCCGCGUGUGUGAAGAAGGCCUUCGGGUUGUAUAGCACUUUCAGCGGGGAGGCGUUACCCGCAGAAGAAGCACCGGCUAACUCCGUGCCAGCAGCCGCGGUAAUAC
rnacentral:rRNA from 1 species